ACUCCUACGGGAGGCAGCAGUGGGGAAUAUUGCACAAUGGGCGCAAGCCUGAUGCAGCCAUGCCGCGUGUGUGAAGAAGGCCUUGGGUUGUAAAGCACUUUCAGUCGUGAGGAAGGUGGUAGUGUUAAUAGCACUAUCAUUUGUACGUUAGCGACAGAAGAAGCACCGGCUAACUCCGUGCCAGCAGCCGCGGUAAUACGGAGGGUGCGAGCGUUAAUCGGAAUUACGUGGGCGUAAAGCGCAUGCAGGUGGUUUGUUAAGUCAGAUGUGAAAGCCCGGGGCUCAACCUCGGAAUAGCAUUUGAAACUGGCAGACUAGAGUACUGUAGAGGGGGUAGAAUUUCAGGUGUAGCGGUGAAAGUGCGUAGAGAUCUGAAGGAAUACCGGUGGCGAAGGCGGCCCCUGGACAGAUACUGACACUCAGAUGCGAAAGCGUGGGAGCAAACGAGGAUUAGAGUACCCCUGGUAGCGACUGAG
rnacentral:rRNA from 1 species